AUACGUAGGUGGCAAGCGUUGUCCGGAUUUACUGGGCGUAAAGGGCGUGUAGGCGGAGAUGCAAGUCAGGAGUGAAAUCUAGGGGCUCAACCCCUAAACUGCUUUUGAAACUGUAUCCCUUGAGUAUCGGAGAGGCAGGCGGAAUUCCUAGUGUAGCGGUGAAAUGCGUAGAUAUUAGGAGGAACACCAGUGGCGAAGGCGGACUGCUAGACGACAACUGUCGCUGAGGCGCGAAAGCGUGGGGAGCGAACAGGAGUAGAUACCCUGGUAGGCCACGCGGUAAACGAUGAAUGCUAGGGGUUGUGGGUAUCGACCCCUGCAGUGCCGGAGUCAACACAAUAAGCAUUCCGCCUGGGGAGUACGGCCGCAAGGUUGAAACUCAAAUGAAUUGACGGGG
rnacentral:rRNA from 1 species